AGCGAACGCUGGCGGCAGGCCUAACACAUGCAAGUCGAACGAAGCCUUCGGGCUUAGUGGCGGACGGGUGAGUAACACGUGGGAACGUACCUUUUGGUUCGGAAUAACGCAGAGAAAUUUGCGCUAAUACCGAAUGAGCCCUUCGGGGGAAAGAUUUAUCGCCGAAAGAUCGGCCCGCGUUGGAUUAGGUAGUUGGUGUGGUAAAGGCGCACCAAGCCUACGCUCCAUAGCUGGUCUGAGAGGAUGAUCAGCCACACUGGGACUGAGACACGGCCCAGACUUCUACGGGAGGCAGCAGUGGGGAAGCUUGCGCAAUGGGCGAAAGCCUGACGCAGCCAUGCCGCGUGAAUGAUGAAGGUCUUAGGAUUGUAAAAUUCUUUUACCAGGGACGAUAAUGACGGUGCCUGGAGAAAAAGCCCCGGCUAGCUUCGUGCCAGCCGCCGCAGUAACAC
rnacentral:rRNA from 1 species